rnacentral:rRNA from 1 species
GAUGAACGCUGGCGGCGUGCCUAAUACAUGCAAGUCGAGCGAACGGGCGAGAAGCUUGCUUCUCUGAUGUUAGCGGCGGACGGGUGAGUAACACGUGGAUAACCUACCUAUAAGACUGGGAUAACUUCGGGAAACCGGAGCUAAUACCGGAUAAUAUUUUGAACCGCAUGGUUCAAAAGUGAAAGACGGUCUUGCUGUCACUUAUAGAUGGAUCCGCGCUGCAUUAGCUAGUUGGUAAGGUAACGGCUUACCAAGGCAACGAUGCAUAGCCGACCUGAGAGGGUGAUCGGCCACACUGGAACUGAGACACGGUCCAGACUCCUACGGGAGGCAGCAGUAGGGAAUCUUCCACAAUGGGCGAAAGCCUGACGGAGCAACGCCGCGUGAGUGAUGAAGGUCUUCGGAUCGUAAAACUCUGUUAUUAGGGAAGAACAUAUGUGUAAGUAACUGUGCACAUCUUGACGGUACCUAAUCAGAAAGCCACGGCUAACUACGUG